rnacentral:misc_RNA from 1 species
UGGUUCUGGCAUCGAUGAAGAACGCAGCGAAAUGCGAUAAGUAAUGUGAAUUGCAGAAUUCAGUGAAUCAUCGAAUCUUUGAACGCACAUUGCGCCCUUUGGUAUUCCGAGGGGCAUGCCUGUUCGAGCGUCAUUUCAACCCUCAAGCUUCUGCUUGGUGUUGGAUGCUGUCCGUGAUGGACGCGUCCGAAACUCAUAGGCGGUGGUACCCAGCUCCCAGCGUAGUCAAUUCUACCCGCUUCGGAGUCUGGGUGCGGCCAGCCUGACGAACACACACAUCUUCUAUGGUUUGACCUCGGAUCAGGUAGGGAUACCCGCUGA